rnacentral:rRNA from 1 species
CCUACGGGAGGCAGCAGUGAGGAAUUUUGGUCAAUGGCCGGAAGGCUGAACCAGCCAUGCCGCGUGAAGGUCAGUGCCCUAUGGGCGUUAAACUUCUUUUGUGCGGGAGCAAUAAUGGUCACGUGUGGCCAGACGAGAGUACCGUACGAAUAAGCAUCGGCUAACUCCGUGCCAGCAGCCGCGGUAAUACGGGGGAUGCAAGCGUUAUCCGGAUUUAUUGGGUUUAAAGGGUGCGUAGGCUGUGAGGUAAGUCAGCGGUGAAAUGCCCCCGCUCAACGGGGUGAAGUGCCAUUGAUACUGCCUGGCUGGAAUGCGGAUGCCGUGGGAGGAAUGUGUGGUGUAGCGGUGAAAUGCAUAGAUAUCACACAGAACACCGAUUGCGAAGGCAUCUCACGAAUCCGCGAUUGACGCUGAUGCACGAAAGCGUGGGUAUCAAACAGGAUUAGAUACCCUGGUAGUC